rnacentral:rRNA from 1 species
GAUGAACGCUAGCGGCAGGCUUAAUACAUGCAAGUCGAGGGGGAUCAGCUGGGUAGCAAUACUCGGCUGUGAGACCGGCAAACGGGUGCGGAACACAUACGCAACCUUCCCAAAACUGGUGAAUAGCCCUCCGAAAGGAGGAUUAAUACACCGUAACAUAAUGAGAUGGCAUCAUUUUAUUAUUAUAGCUCCGGCGGUUUUGGAUGGGCGUGCGCCUGAUUAGGUAGUUGGCGGGGUAACGGCCCACCAAGCCUGCGAUCAGUAACUGGUGUGAGAGCACGACCAGUCACACGGGCACUGAGACACGGGCCCGACUCCUACGGGAGGCAGCAGUAAGGAAUAUUGGUCAAUGGACGAAAGUCUGAACCAGCCAUGCCGCGUGAAGGAUGACGGCCCUCUGGGUUGUAAACUUCUUUUAUCUGGGACGAAAAAAGAUCAUUCUUGAUCACUUGACGGUACCAGAGGAAUAAGCACCGGCUAACUCCGUGCCAGCAGCCGCAGUAACAC